GACGAACGCUGGCGGCGUGCCUAACACAUGCAAGUCGAACGGAAAGGCCCUGCUUUUGUGGGGUGCUCGAGUGGCGAACGGGUGAGUAACACGUGAGUAACCUGCCCUUGACUUUGGGAUAACUUCAGGAAACUGGGGCUAAUACCGGAUAGGAGCUCCUGCUGCAUGGUGGGGGUUGGAAAGUUUCGGCGGUUGGGGAUGGACUCGCGGCUUAUCAGCUUGUUGGUGGGGUAGUGGCUUACCAAGGCUUUGACGGGUAGCCGGCCUGAGAGGGUGACCGGCCACAUUGGGACUGAGAUACGGCCCAGACUCCUACGGGAGGCAGCAGUGGGGAAUAUUGCACAAUGGGCGGAAGCCUGAUGCAGCAACGCCGCGUGCGGGAUGACGGCCUUCGGGUUGUAAACCGCUUUCGCCUGUGACGAAGCGUGAGUGACGGUAAUGGGUAAAGAAGCACCGGCUAACUACGUGCCAGCAGCCGCGGUGAUACGUAGGGUGCGAGCGUUGUCCGGAUUUAUUGGGCGUAAAGGGCUCGUAGGUGGUUGAUCGCGUCGGAAGUGUAAUCUUGGGGCUUAACCCUGAGCGUGCUUUCGAUACGGGUUGACUUGAGGAAGGUAGGGGAGAAUGGAAUUCCUGGUGGAGCGGUGGAAUGCGCAGAUAUCAGGAGGAACACCAGUGGCGAAGGCGGUUCUCUGGGCCUUUCCUGACGCUGAGGAGCGAAAGCGUGGGGAGCGAACAGGCUUAGAUACCCUGGUAGUCCACGCUGUAAACGGUGGGUACUAGGUGUGGGGUCCAUUCCACGGGUUCCGUGCCGUAGCUAACGCUUUAAGUACCCCGCCUGGGGAGUACGGCCGCAAGGCUAAAACUCAAAGGAAUUGACGGGGCCCCGCACAAGCGGCGGAGCAUGCGGAUUAAUUCGAUGCAACGCGUAGAACCUUACCUGGGUUUGACAUGGAUCGGGAGUGCUCAGAGAUGGGUGUGCCUCUUUUGGGGUCGGUUCACAGGUGGUGCAUGGCUGUCGUCAGCUCGUGUCGUGAGAUGUUGGGUUAAGUCCCGCAACGAGCGCAACCCUUGUUCACUGUUGCCAGCACGUUAUGGUGGGGACUCAGUGGAGACCGCCGGGGUCAACUCGGAGGAAGGUGGGGAUGACGUCAAGUCAUCAUGCCCCUUAUGUCCAGGGCUUCACGCAUGCUACAAUGGCUGGUACAGAGAGUGGCGAGCCUGUGAGGGUGAGCGAAUCCCGGAAAGCCGGUCUCAGUUCGGAUUGGGGUCUGCAACUCGACCUCAUGAAGUCGGAGUCGCUAGUAAUCGCAGAUCAGCAACGCUGCGGUGAAUACGUUCCCGGG
rnacentral:rRNA from 1 species